rnacentral:piRNA from 1 species
UAAAGGUGACGGGGGAGGAAACCCAGAGA